UACGGGGGGAGCAAGCGUUGUUCGGAAUUACUGGGCGUAAAGGGCUCGUAGGUGGCCAACUAAGUCAGACGUGAAAUCCCCAGGCUCAACUUGGGAACUGCGUCUGAUACUGGAUGGCUUGAAUUCGGGAGAGGGAUGCAGAAUUCCAGGUGUAGCGGUGAAAUGCGUAGAUAUCGGAAGGAACACCGGUGGCGAAGGCGGCACGCUGGGCCCGACCUGACGCUGAGGCGCGAAAGCCAGGGGAGCGAACGGG
rnacentral:rRNA from 1 species